AAUAAAAAAGUUAUCAGUACCUAUUAUCGAAAUACAAUAUUUUCUUAUAUAUUAUAUACGAUGGGAACGAUGAAUUUCUGUGGAUCAUUCUUGAACAGCUCAAUCCUCAAUAAUAUUAAAAUGAAAAUGUUCGAUGCAAAUUGAUGAUGCUGAUUAUUAAGCUGCCGCAGUUUUUCUUUUAUAAUCUUUUGAUUAGGAACAUUCAUUCUUUCAAAUAGAAAUUGAACGUAUAUAAAUGCUUGUAAAUCGAUAUGUUAAUGUGGCGCAAAGUUCGGCGGAGUCGUUGGGUCAAUGUGACGUCAGCGGAUACGAAGACCCUCGAUGUGCUGAACUACGACAAUAUUUGCGUUUAAAAUGUUUCUCAGUUGUGCAUAUGCAUAUAAUAUGAUCGUAGUCACUAUAUUGAUUUACGACAAUCUUUUCAUUUUUGUAAGAGACAAAAUACGAAUAUUUUUUUAGCAAUAGAUAUUUCUUAUUAUUUCUAUACUUUGAUAUGCAUUUAUGAAUAAUCAUGAAAUUUUUAGGUUAAUAAAAAGUAAAUAUGUAUAUAUACAUAUAUAUAUACAUACAUAAUAUGAGAUCUAAUGUGCUUGAAUGUUUACACUUUUUUUUAUUGAAGGCGUAAAAUGAUAAUUUGCUCGAAGAAAAUUAAAAAGAAAUCAAAAAUAGAGAAGAAAAGAAUAAAAGAAUAAUGAUUGGAUAGCCUGUCCGUUCCUUUCAAUGACCCCUGGACCAUUCUCUGAUUCUUCAGAGUUAAAUACUUCCCUCGGUUGGUUCCAGAAUGGAGAAAAAGAAAAUGAUAACCCCAGAUACUGUGGUGGCGGUGCUGAAAUGGCUUCUAAUUAAAAAAUCAUUCGAUUUGUGAUCGAUUUUUUGUUAGACACGUUGUUUCAAAUCAAUUCUGUUGAUGGCGCAAUCCGAUAAUCGUAACGGAGGAUCUAUUUUAAUUACCGUUAAUUACCGUUCCGGUCAAUUAUAAAAUAUAUUUUCCAUAAGGAUGAUGUAUAUACAAAACGGUUGAAUAUGCGAAGUGACAAUCAUAAAGAAGAGUUUUAUUGAUCGUAAAAGCGAUCGUCUCUCGUGCCAACACGCUUAGGAACCAUCGCAUUACAAUAGCGCAUACACGUGGUUGACAAACAUGGGAGCGGCAUAUUGGGUCGAUGGCAAAAGGAAUAAAAAAAAAAAAAAAAAGAAAAGAGGGAAGGACAUAGAAGCUGGGAUAUAAGCGAGAAAAAGGAUAUAUACCACUGGCUCGACCUUUCUACCUUGUCUACAUGUAUUUCACUCGCUUUAUACCUAGGUGUGGCUUAUGUAUUCCUUUACCUCUGUGAACUAUCGCAUUUCCGGCAUAAUCCCCCGUUCAGGAGAUUGUACAACGUGUGUUGGACUUGGAAAAUUAACGCUGAUUUGAAAUUGAAACCUCUUUCUUGAAAUCUAUCCUCCAUUUUAUUCUUUGAAAUUCAUUCACAACAUAUUAUUUUAUUUGUAAGUUGAAAUUUGGUAUCAAGAUUGGUAAAGGAUAUAUUGGUAUGGAUAAUAUUUAAGAAUAUUCAACUUUCUCCAGAAUUCUAAUAGAUAAAACCUUUUGCAGGUUAAACAAGAGUUUAAUGAGCCUUGAGAGAAUGUCAAAUUGGGAUUGUACGUAAAGAAUUUUAAGGAAAACUGUGGUGCACAAGGGACAUCUGUUGUAAGGGAUGUUUAAUCGAUUAACGAACAAUUGAAAGAAGGUAAAGCCUCCUCUGGCUAAAUGUGACUUUUAACGAGCAGCAACGAGGAGAAACGGGGAACGACCUGCGCGCGGAUUCGGGCGCGGUCAAUGCCGUCUAGAUGCUAUUGCUAUUACUAUCCGGACCGUCUGAUAUUUUCGUCAUGGCCUACUAAUACACUCCGCAAAUUCUCGCCCUACCACGGGGGUCACUGUUCGAGGAUGACGUGGUCAAGGAAAUAUGCCGAUCGUAGAUUCAUGUGAACAUGUUCUUCAAUGUUUACUUAGAUGGAAGUUCGAAUUUUUUUAACUUGAAAUGAAGAAAGCAGCAGUGUACUUGGGAUGCGUUUAGCGGGUAACCGGGUACAUAAUGGUCGUGGCUAAAUAUUCAAACAGUUUGACCUUCCAUAUAUUCAUGACCGUCAUCUUGGUGGAGAAAAAGAAAAGGUAGAUGGAUUUGCAUUUGAAUGAUGGAACGAUUUGUGGGACAAGAAGUUUUUCAAUAUACCGCUUUCCGGUAGUGUACGUGUUGACCAUCGACUCUGGCAGCCAUUUUUAGGAAAAUUGCUUUUAACGUGUUCCACGGCAUAAAGGUGCGGUUCACGAUUUAUUCAAAAUUACGUUGCCCGAUAGUUGGAAAUCAUCCUUUGAUUAUGAAAUUACCAUUAGCAUAUAGUAUUGAGAACGCAAUGAAAUUAAGCGUUUACGUCAUCUUCUUACUUUUAGGAUUAUAUUACUCUGUGAAAAAAACAUACAAAAAAUUAAAAUUUAUAGUACUUUUUUUCUUCUGCUCAAAAAAGUAUUAUCUGUAUCUGAGAGGCGGGUUACAGAGAUAACGGUUCUAAAGUUAAUUUUUUAUUUCAUAAUGAAAAAUUCGUUUUCCAUUCGCAUCUCGUCACGACACACUACCGACAGAGUCCUGGCAUGAUGCAAUACGAACUAUGUGUACCCAUUUCUCCACGCAUCGAGACAUUUAUCUGUUCAACUCAUUAUCGAUAGAAUGCCACUUUCGCCCUAUUUCGUAAGACCAGGCGUCGUGCAACAUUAGUUUUAAGCGAGAUAAAAUUUUUUGAAUUUGGGACACAUGAAAAAACAUAGGGUCGUUGGGUCGUUCUGCAUCGAUAAGAUAUUACCGACGUGGAAUACAAGUGCACUGGUUACAUAAAUGGUGGUACAGCUGUUGAACGGGGUGAGAUUUUCAUUCCAAACGAAAAGUUAUAUCGCAGUAGACGGAGUAGACGAUGUAAAUCAUUGUUGUAAUGGAUCGAACGUUCCAUUUGAACACGCAUUAUCACAGCAAUCGAGAUAAGAAUUUCUGUCGCAAUCAUUCGUGUUCAUGAUACGUAUAUCGUUGAUAAUUAAGUGAUCAUUGUUACAUUACUUUUACUUGCAACUACUACUUUUCCGUUUCUUCAAAAUACCAACCAAUAUAAUAUUUACAAUGGGAGUUUAUAAGGUAAAAAAAAAGAUACGUAAAUGGCCUGUAAUGCGAAGCGUUAUCAUCCUUGAACUCGGUGACGAAGCAUUCUAUGCUAACGCGUCGUAAAAUACAGCGAUACGAGUGUAUUAACUACUUUACGUUACUUUCUAUGAAUAGCGAGUUAAUUGAAUAGUUACAAUAGUCGUUUAACGAUGAAUUCGUUAUAUUUCUCGUGAAAUGUAUCGUUCAAAUUGCACCCAAUCAUGUACAUCGAAUAUAAUCAUUAUCUUUCGUCGAUUAAAAUUCAAUUAUAACGAGUAAAUUGUAAAUUUGUUAAAUAUAAAUAUUAUGUAUCUCCAA
rnacentral:lncRNA from 1 species